rnacentral:sRNA from 1 species
ACGUGUAAUUCAAAAGUAAAAAACUUAUGAAGAAUCACAUGUCUCAUGAUUAGUGUUAUAAAGAAAAAAGAAAGCAUGCAUACAGGAAUAUCCACAUAAGCAAUUUUGCAAUGCCAAGUGAGUACACCUAUGUGAAACUGAGAAGUGAUUGCUCGAGGCCUUCCCUGCAAUGGUACAGCCGAGCUCAAAGCAAGAUGAGAAGGCCCAGCUUGUUAUUAAAAGACAUCCUCAAAUGCACAUUGCUUGUGUUUGGAGUGUGGAUCCUUUAUAUCCUCAAGUUAAAUUAUACUACUGAAGAAUGUGACAUGAAAAAAAUGCAUUAUGUGGACCCUGACCGUGUAAAGAGAGCUCAGAAAUAUGCUCAGCAAGUCUUGCAGAAGGAAUGUCGUCCCAAGUUUGCCAAGACAUCAAUGGCACUGUUAUUUGAGCACAGGUAUAGCGUGGACUUACUCCCUUUUGUGCGGAAGGCCCCCAAAGACAGUGAAGCUGAGUCCAAGUACGAUCCUCCUUUUGGGUUCCGGAAGUUCUCCAGUAAAGUCCAGAACCUCUUGGAGCUCUUGCCAGAGCACGACCUCCCUGAACACUUGAAAGCCAAGACCUGUCGGCGCUGUGUGGUUAUUGGAAGCGGAGGAAUACUGCACGGAUUAGAACUGGGCCACACCCUGAACCAGUUCGAUGUUGUGAUAAGGUUAAACAGUGCACCAGUUGAGGGAUAUUCAGAACAUGUUGGAAAUAAAACUACUAUAAGGAUGACUUAUCCAGAGGGCGCACCACUGUCCGACCUUGAAUAUUAUUCCAAUGACUUGUUUGUUGCUGUUUUAUUUAAGAGUGUUGAUUUCAACUGGCUUCAAGCAAUGGUAAAAAAUGAAACCCUGAACGUCCCCACAAUCGGUGUCAUUGCCGUUGUCUUAGCCACACACCUGUGCGAUGAAGUCAGUUUGGCAGGUUUUGGAUAUGACCUCAAUCAACCCAGAACACCUUUGCACUACUUCGACAAUCAGUGCAUGGCUGCUAUGAACUUUCAGACCAUGCAUAAUGUGACAACGGAAACCAAGUUCCUCUUAAAGCUGGUCAAAGAGGGAGUGGUGAAAGACCUCAGCGGAGGCAUUCAUUGUGAAUUUUGAACACAGAAAACCUCAGUUGAAAAUGCAACUCUAACUCUGAGGGCUGUUUUUGACAGCCUUCUUGAUGUAUUUCUCCAUC